rnacentral:rRNA from 1 species
GCGAGCGAACGGGGAGCAGCCCAGAGUCUUAAUCAGCAUUAGCAUCAGGAGAACGGUCUGGAAAGUCCGGCAGUAAAGGGUGAUAGCCCCGUAUCCGAAGGUGUUAGUGUUGUGAACUCGACGAGUAGGGCGGGACACGUGUUAUCCUGUCUGAAUAUGGGGGGACCAUCCUCCAAGGCUAAAUACUCCUGAUUGACCGAUAGUGAACCAGUACCGUGAGGGAAAGGCGAAAAGAACCCCGGCGAGGGGAGUGAAAUAGAACCUGAAACCGUGUACGUACAAGCAGUGGGAGCCUUGAUUUAUCAGGGUGACUGCGUACCUUUUGUAUAAUGGGUCAGCGACUUAUAUUCUGUAGCAAGGUUAACCGAAUAGGGGAGCCGUAGGGAAACCGAGUCUUAACUGGGCGAAUAAGUUGCAGGGUAUAGACCCGAAACCCGGUGAUCUAGCCAUGGGCAGGUUGAAGGUUGGGUAACACUAACUGGAGGACCGAACCGACUAAUGUUGAAAAAUUAGCGGAUGACUUGUGGCUGGGGGUGAAAGGCCAAUCAAACCGGGAGAUAGCUGGUUCUCCCCGAAAGCUAUUUAGGUAGCGCCUCGUGAACUCAUCUUCGGGGGUAGAGCACUGUUUCGACUAGGGGGUCAUCCCGACUUACCAACUCGAU